rnacentral:rRNA from 1 species
UGCCUACGGGACGCAGCAGUGAGGAAUAUUGGUCAAUGGGCGGAAGCCUGAACCAGCCAAGUCGCGUGAGGGAAUAAGGCCCUACGGGUCGUAAACCCCUUUUGCCGGGGAGCAAGGGCCGGGACGCGUCCCGGCCCGGAGAGUACCCGGAGAAAAAGCAUCGGCUAACUCCGUGCCAGCAGCCGCGGUGAUACGGAGGAUGCGAGUGUUAUCCGGAUUUAUUGGGUUUAAAGGGUGCGUAGGCGGGCUUUUAAGUCAGCGGUAAAAAUUCGAGGCUCAACCCCGUCCGGCCGGUGAAACUGGGG